rnacentral:rRNA from 1 species
AAAUUGAAGAGUUUGAUCAUGGCUCAGAUUGAACGCUGGCGGCAGGCCUAACACAUGCAAGUCGAGCGGCAGCGGAAAGUAGCUUGCUACUUUGCCGGCGAGCGGCGGACGGGUGAGUAAUGUCUGGGAAACUGCCUGAUGGAGGGGGAUAACUACUGGAAACGGUAGCUAAUACCGCAUAACGUCGCAAGACCAAAGAGGGGGACCUUCGGGCCUCUUGCCAUCAGAUGUGCCCAGAUGGGAUUAGCUAGUAGGUGGGGUAACGGCUCACCUAGGCGACGAUCCCUAGCUGGUCUGAGAGGAUGACCAGCCACACUGGAACUGAGACACGGUCCAGACUCCUACGGGAGGCAGCAGUGGGGAAUAUUGCACAAUGGGCGCAAGCCUGAUGCAGCCAUGCCGCGUGUAUGAAGAAGGCCUUCGGGUUGUAAAGUACUUUCAGCGGGGAGGAAGGCG